rnacentral:snoRNA from 1 species
GGAGACAAAGUUUACAUGUUGAAGUCUUUAGAAUCUUCUCCGUGUCUACAACGCUCCAAGAUUAAAAAUAAGUACGAACGGCACAUCCUUUGCAAUGAAUUAUAUUACAAUAGACGACUUGUGUUUGAAUACAUUA